rnacentral:rRNA from 1 species
GGCGAACGCUGGCGGCGUGCUUAACACAUGCAAGUCGAACGGUAAGGCCCUUUCGGGGGUACACGAGUGGCGAACGGGUGAGUAACACGUGGGUGAUCUGCCCUGCACUUUGGGAUAAGCCUGGGAAACUGGGUCUAAUACCGGCUAGGACUACGCGAUGCAUGUCGUGUGGUGGAAAGCUUUUGCGGUGUGGGAUGGGCCCGCGGCCUAUCAGCUUGUUGGUGGGGUGAUGGCCUACCAAGGCGACGACGGGUAGCCGGCCUGAGAGGGUGUCCGGCCAAAGGGGGAUUAGGGAAGGGCCCGACCUCCAAGGGGGGGCAGGGGGGGGAAAAAUUGCAAAAGGGGCCGAAGGCUGGGGGAGGGACGCCGGGUGGGGGAGGACGGCCUGGGGGGUGGAAACCCCUUAAGGAAAAAACGAGGCGUAAGGGAGGGUAUGGGAAAAAAAAAACCGGGCAAAUUAGUG